rnacentral:rRNA from 1 species
CCUACGGGAGGCUGCAGUAGGGAAUCUUUCACAAUGGGCGAAAGCCUGAUGGAGCAACGCCGCGUGCAGGAUGAAGGCCUUCGGGUUGUAAACUGCUUUUAUAAGCGAGAAAUAUGAUGGUAACUUAUGAAUAAGGAUCGGCUAACUACGUGCCAGCAGCCGCGGUCAUACGUAGGAUCCGAGCAUUAUCCGGAGUGACUGUGUGUAAAGAGUUGCGUAGGUGGCAUAAUAAGUAGCUAGUGAAAUCUGGUGGCUCAACCAUUCAGACUAUUAGCUAAACUGUUAAGCUCGAGACCGUUAGGGGUAACUGGAAUUUCUAGUGUAGGAGUGAAAUCCGUAGAGAUUAGAAGGAACACCAAUAGCGUAGGCAGGUUGCUGGGACGGUUCUGACACUAAGGCACGAAAGCGUAGGGAGCAAACGGGAUUAGAGACCCGAGUAGUC